GACGAACGCUGGCGGCGUGCUUAACACAUGCAAGUCGAACGAAGUGGCGAACGGGUGAGUAACGCGUAAUCAACCUGCCCUUCAGAGGGGGACAACAGUUGGAAACGCCUGCUAAUACCGGAUACUGAAGGAGGGGAUUGCGUCUGCUGAGAUAGAUGGAGGGGUAAAGGCCAACAAAGGCGAUGAUCAGUAGCCGGUCGACUAGGAUGAACGUACACAGUGGUACUGCGACACGGCCCCGUCUCAUACGGGAGUCAGCAGUGGGGCUUCUUCCGAAAUGGACGAACGUCUGACGGAGCAACGCGGCGUGAGUGAUGACGGCCUUCGGGUGGUAAAGCUCGGUUAAUCGGGACGCGGUACCGGAAUAGAUAGCCAGGGCUAACUCCGUGCCAGCAGCCGCGGUAAUUC
rnacentral:rRNA from 1 species